CUCAUUAACAAUCAUCUUAUUUCCUUUCUUCUUUUUUUCUCCCGGUUUUCCAAUCAAACUAUUCUUCUUCUUCAAAAUUGAUAGAAAACUUUGGGGUUCAUCUGAAAUCAAGGAUAAUCGUAUUUUGGAUUAAUUUUUUAGCACAAAAUUAAGUUGUUUGAUUGAGAUUUUAUUGUAGUAAGGAUGGCGAAAUCAAAACGAAAAAGAAAAUCAAGAAAUCAGCAGCAGGACGUACAUAAAGUGUUUGUGGAAAUGCGGCUUAGGAAACAAUGGGAAGCUCGAGUCUGUAUCAACAGCAUGACGUACAGAAGGUGUUUGUGGAAAUGCCCGAGGGAUCAAUUUUUGACAGAUUGAUUAACGGAUCUGAAGGUGUUUAAUGGAUCCAUAUACAAUCACAAGAUGGACUGCUGCGCUGACUGGUUUAACGGAUCUGAAGUGUUCGUCAAACUUGGUAAUGGUUUAACUGGUGUCUUGUUGUCAUUGGUGACGAGAUGGAGAUUGAUUUGGAGAUAGUACUUUUCCAGAUGGAUGCCAUUGUGUUUUGUUGUCAUUGGUAGUGAUUAGGAACAAUAGAGAAGAUUAAAUGAGUUGAUAUGCAAGUGGGUCUUAGAUUAUGCUACCAAUUUAUGGUUAAGAUUGUAGUUGUGUAACUGGUUCUGGUGAGGAUGCGGGUGCACUGCUGAGAAUGUAGAGAAGAAAGUUGAGUAAUUGUUGUUAAUUAUAGAGAAAUCUGGUGUUGGAUUGAGGCUGGUGAUGAUGUUGACUUGAGACAAUGAAGCAAUACAGAGAAGGAAUGUAAUGGUGCUUCAAUGGUGGUACAUGAACUGAUUUGGAUGCGGAAAUAGAUGAAUGUUAGAUGAAUUCAGGGAAGUAGGAUAAUAGGAUGGGUCAGUAUGACCGUGGAUUUGUUUUGAUUGCAGACAGUAAUUGAGCUGAGAUGGUGAAAGUUCAGGAGAUGGAUUUGGUUGCUGCUAAAGGAAAUGGUCAGUUUCCAGGUGAAAAUGCUUUUGAAGCUCUCGGAGGAGAUGCACAAUAAUAAAACGUCCCUGUUUUGUGGCCUGCAUAUAUAGCCUCCGGUACUUUUGAUCACUGUACUAAUGUUGUCUAUAUGCCACCACCAUAAUUGCAUCAUCAUACUGCAUUUUCUUCAUCAUUUGGUGAUGAAAUGGGAUUGUAAGAAACUGUGAUUUAAUGGUGGAAUAAUAAGAUUAGCUGC